rnacentral:rRNA from 1 species
AUUGAACGCUGGCGGCAUGCUUUACACAUGCAAGUCGAACGGCAGCUCGGGCUUCGGCCUGGCGGGGAGUCGCAAACGGUUGAGUAAUGCAUCUGAGCUCGCCCUGUCUUUCGGGAUAGGCCGUCGAUAGCCGGAUUAAUACCCCAUCCGACCUGUUAGUGAAAUUGGGGGAGCGAAAGUCCGCUCGCCAUUUUGGCGGGCUAUGUCGGAUUAGCUAGUUGGUGGGGUAAAGGCUUACCAAGGCGACGAUCCGUAGCUGGUCUGAGAGGACGACCAGCCAGACUGGGACUGAGACACGGCCGAGACUCCUGAGGGAGGACGCAGUCGGGAAUUUUGGAGAAUGGGGGAAAGGCUGAUCCAGCAAUGCGGCGUGAGGGAAGAAGGCCUUCGGGUUGUAAAGCGCUUUUGUUCGGGGAGAAGUACUGUGCGCUAAUACACCAGGAGGAUGACGGUACCGGAAGAAUAAGCACCGGCUAACUACGUG